GGCCCGUUCGUCUAGUGGUGAGGACACCAGGUUUUCAUCCUGGAGACAGGGGUUCGAUUCCCCUACGGGCUGCAA
rnacentral:tRNA from 1 species